UACAGAGGGUGCGAACGUUGCUCGGAAUUACUGGGCGUAAAGCGCGUGCAGGCUGCUUCGCGAGUCUGAUGUGAAAGCCCGGGGCUCAACCCCGGAAGUGCAUUGGAUACUACGAAGCUUGAGUGCUGGAGAGGAGAGCGGAAUUCCCGGUGUAGAGGUGAAAUUCGUAGAUAUCGGGAGGAACACCAGUGGCGAAGGCGGCUCUCUGGACAGACACUGACGCUGAGACGCGAAAGCAUGGGGAUCAAACAGG
rnacentral:rRNA from 1 species